rnacentral:lncRNA from 1 species
CAGAAAAUAGAGGAACAAGCUCGGAAACAAGGUGUCCAGGGGAAGCUGAAGGCAGUAUGGCUUAGAGGAUGGACUGCUGCUGCCUCUGGUGCUUGGAAGAUGUGGGCGCCCAACAAGCCCAGACAGUCAUUUGCUGCAUGACCAUGGACCAUGGGCCAAUCCCUUCCCUUGUUUCUCCUCAGUUUCGUGCCCGAGGCCUCACCUCCUCCUUACUGGGGGCCUGGAAUGAGAUCAGCGAAGAAAGCCGUUGGCAGACUUCAGCCUGCGGGAUCAGACGCCCCUCCAAAGCAGGGACUGCUUGUCCUCAUCCCUCCGCACUGGAGUCCGUCAGGACGGACAACCCAAGGCCCGGAAAGAGGCAACCUCUUACUCCAACACUUUCCAGAAAUAGAUGUUGGUGCCUCAAGUGGAAUUCUCUUCAUGGUGAUUUGGGGAAGCUCAUCACAAGCUGAUCUAUAAGCCUUUCAGACUCACUUGGGAAAUGGAAGUGGAAAGCCCAGAUAGAGUCAAAACAAAUUCAGUCAAGAAGAAUGAUCUUUGGACUUGUAAAGAGAAGGAGAAAAAAUCUUGGUCGCCAGACUGUUGACAUCCCAGACAAAUGCUGAAGUCAUCAGAGUAUAUACCAAAUUGCCUUCCAUCAGUCAAUUAGUAAUGAGAGGCACUGGGCCAGAGGCCAGGUAUUAAAAGACAAAAAUGAAAAGUCUCCCCCUCAGUGGAUUUCUAUUCUAUAAAGGUGAGCAAUAUGGAUACAUAGGAGGUUAAAGGAAAUCUGGGGCUUAUCAGACACCUCCAUCUUUUUUAGCUGAAGCAACCUCUCCACAUGGACUCCAGGGAGUGGAUUCAAGGAGAAUUGUAAUGCUGUAUGAGGGCAGCACCUUUCAGGGACUGGGGAGUGUGGAAGAGGCAUGCAUGCAAAGGACAGAAGCUCUGUUUCAUGCUAGUGACUGAAUUGCCA